GACGAACGCUGGCGGCGUGCUUAACACAUGCAAGUCGAACGGAAAAGCCCUGCUUUUGUGUGGUGCUCGAGUGGCGAACGGGUGAGUAACACGUGAGUAACCUGCCCUUGACUUUGGGAUAACUUCAGGAAACUGCGGCUAAUACCGGAUAGGAGCUCCUGCUGCAUGGUGGGGGUUGGAAAGUUUCGGCGGUUGGGGAUGGACUCGCGGCCUAUCAGCUUGUUGGUGGGGUAGUGGCUUACCAAGGCUUUGACGGGUAGCCGGCCUGAGAGGGUGACCGGCCACAUUGGGACUGAGAUACGGCCCAGACUCCUACGGGAGGGAACAGUGGGGAAUAUUGCACAAUGGGCGGAAGCCUGAUGCAGCAACGCCGCGUGCGGGAUGACGGCCUUCGGGUUGUAAACCGCUUUCGCCUGUGACGAAGCGUGAGUGACGGUAAUGGGUAAAGAAGCACCGGCUAACUUAGUG
rnacentral:rRNA from 1 species